GAGGGCGGGUGGGCCGCUCGCACGGCAAUCGAGUAGAGAGUACGAAAUAACCUAAUGCAGUCAUCGUCAACAGAAAACGUAGGCCUCCAGCCUCACGCCGACUCUCUUACCUACAUUCAUAUUUACUACCUCGUUCCCAAGACUCCGCCGCGUUGCCUCUAGUUCGGCUCGUGCCACAGGUAACUUCGCUCGUCGCUACUUUGCCAUUCACCUUCGCCUCCACCCAGCCUCUGCUUCUCCACAGAAGCGGCGACCUCCUUCGCCGUUGUUGCGCCUCGUCUAUGCGACUCCUCCUCAUCCGACUGUGUCUUCUGCCUACCCGGUGCGCGCCCCCUCUCUCUGCGCAUCCGUUUCUCCGGCCCUCUCUUACGGUUGCCUACCUUACUGCAGGACUCGCCCCUUGCCUGUCCGGUGCCGGGUAGGCUUUCCUUGCCUCCCCCGGCCCUACUUGGGGCGCCCCUCCUUGGCUCGUCAACUACCUUACUUCCGUCCGUUCCUGCCCCUCGGGGGCCCAACCCCUCCGCCCUUUCUGUGGGCCC
rnacentral:lncRNA from 1 species